rnacentral:rRNA from 1 species
AUGGCGUCUGCAGCGGAGGCCGCCGGAGACGCCUCCACCUCCGCGGCCGAGGUGCGGGAGAAGCCCGUCGUCGUCCGGGUCAAGCGCAAGCCCUCGCAGGCCCGCCUCGACGCUUUCUGGCUGGAGAUCAAUGAGAGGCCCAUGAAGAAGGCCAUGCUCGAUUUCUCGAGCCUCUCCAUCUCCCAACCCUCCUCCAGUGCCCAAGCUUCAGAGGAACCACGGGUGAAGAAGCUUCUUGUCCAGCAUGUCGAGACAGUCCAUCAUUCUGGGGCUGUUGAAGACGUUCUUCACUCCCUUUUGCAUUCUGACCUGAGCACCAAAGAGAUAAAGAGCAAGACAAAGGAGAGGAAUGAAAGAAUGAAGCAAGACAAAAAACAAGACCAGCUACGUUCAGCAGCCAGACAGAGACAUGAGAAUCUUGGAAGAAAUGCCCGCUUUGCACAAAUAUGGAAGAGUCGGAAAGGAGACAAUAAUGAGGUUGAUGAAACACUGAGAGAAAUGUGUCAUCUUUAUGAUGCUGUCCAAGUAGAUUCUGAUGGAGAGAAGCAUCCAGCAGAACCACAGAUGACCUCUGUCGAAGAGGGUGCGAUUUUAUGCAACUUUCUUCCGCUUCUACGGGAACACUUGCCGUCGGCUGCUGAAGAAAUCGAAUCUGAUAUUGUUUCGCUAGCACAGUCAGAAGAUUCAGAUGUUUAUGACAUAUAUACUGUCAAGGAGGUGGAUGAUACAAACAUGGAGGAGGGCGCAUCUGCAGCUUCAUACCCACUGUUACAAGUGGACGAUGAGGAUGGCGAAUGUUACGAUGAUGAUGAGUAUCCAUAUGACACGGAUGACUCAAAUGCCGAAGACAACCCACUCUAUGAUUAUCCUGAAGAACUUUCAGAGGAUGAGGAUGAUGAUAGCAGUGACGAGAAUCCAUUUGCGGAUAUAGAUGGCUCUGGUUCCGAGUACGAGAAUGAAGAGGUGGAAAAAUCCGAUGAGGAGGAGUAG